GAUGAACGCUAGCGGCAGGCCUAACACAUGCAAGUCGAGGGGCAGCACAGAAACAGCCAUGUUUUGGUGGCGACCGGCGGACGGGUGCGUAACGCGUAUGCAACCUACCUUUAACAGGGGGAUAACGGAGAGAAAUUUCCACUAAUACCCCAUAACAUCGAUCAAGGCAUCUUGAUUGGUUGAAAACUCCGGCGGUUAAAGAUGGGCAUGCGUUGUAUUAGGUAGUUGGUGAGGUAAUGGCUCACCAAGCCUACGAUACAUAGGGGGACUGAGAGGUCAGCCCCCCACACUGGUACUGAGACACGGACCAGACUCCUACGGGAGGCAGCAGUGAGGAAUAUUGGUCAAUGGGGGCAACCCUGAACCAGCCAUGCCGCGUGCAGGAAGACGGCUCUAUGAGUUGUAAACUGCUUUUAAACAGGGAUAAAGCACAGUAUGUAUACUGUGUUGAAGGUACUGUAAGAAUAAGGAUCGGCUAACUCCGUGCCAGCAGCCGCGGUAA
rnacentral:rRNA from 1 species